UACAUUAAAGUGUAAGAUGCACAUCAGUUUUUGAUUCUGAGGGCUUUAGUUUAAUUCUAUUUAAUGUAA
rnacentral:tRNA from 1 species